rnacentral:lncRNA from 1 species
CGGGGUGGAGCGUGAGAGUUGUGUGUUAUUUUAAGGGCUGUGGGCGCCGUGGGCGCACUUCUGCCUUUUCUGCUCCCUCUGUACCCCCUCAAGGUGUGAGCGUGGAGCUUUCUAGGUCCCUAGAGGGGGCAGGCCACGGCACCGUCUUGGCGGCGGAGUCCUGGCACCGGGAACCCGAGGCCCCUCCUACUUUAGACUGUAGCCUCCCUCUGUACCAGGAGCGACGUGGCCCUGCCGGGUGCUCAGCCCUAUCCAAGAAAUGCAGAGCCCAGGCUAGCCCCGCAGUGUGAACGCCCCUUUUGGAGGUCUGCAGGCCCAGAGACGAGAGCGCCUAUUUGUUGACAGCCACUUUUCAGGAAGGCCCGCACAUGCUUCUGAUGUGCUGUCGCAGGGCUCCUAGCCACUGUGGCCAGCACUGUCCCUCCACAGAGAGACAAGUCCUUCCACACCCUGGUUCUGAUUCUCUGGUUUAAUCUGUUCUGCUCAGCUGGAGCACAUAGUUCCUUUCCGUGGUCACCUCUCGUCGCCAGCACUGCCCCGUUCAUCAUUCUUUAUUCCUAGCCAGAAGACUUUAAGCAUCCUGGAGGUGCCUGAUGUCCCCACCCCAACUUGUUCACCGAGACCAUCAAAUAAAGGUUCUUUAACCUUUAAUAAUGGCUCAUACAGAGGACCCACUGUGGCUUAAAACAUCAUGGGGUUGCUUAAUCUACUAAAUGUCCUGGCUUAUCAACUCAGCACACUGGAGCAUGUGGUUUCCCCUGGUGAUGGCCAGCGUUGAGAAAGGGUGCUUAUAUCGCAUUAUCACCAGCAUGGAAGAGAUCAAACUCAAAAUCCCAAGUAGUGUUUCUGCUGAUGCCUGUCGCUUCUGCACCAUUACAAGAUCAACCCCCAAAUGAAACAUUGUAGAUUGUGCAUCAUUUGUGCGCUGUCUUUCUUUGUACCGGAGUCAGGAGUGGGUUGCAGAAGAUGGUCUCUAUGAUGCCUUUGAAGAACAUGGAAAAGUAGGUGAUUUCCAAGCAUCUGGUUUGUUGGACCAAGCCUGCCAAGCCACUCUCAGGGACAGAAUGUGUAUGAAAGAGACCACCCAGUGUUCUCAUAUAUAAUUUUGAAGAAACCAGCCUUGUGCACUGAGAGUGCCUCUCUCUUCUGCACCUACUGCUCUCCUUGGGAUAGCCUAAGGUAUCUUAUUGGUUCCAUAGUGUCUUUCCAGGUCUUAUGUGGUGGCUGUUGGCAGCAGUGGGUACCUAGCCCUGGGCUUGAGGUUCUACCUCAUUUGUUUGCAAUAGUCCAGAUUUUCUAGACUGAAAUGUGCCUCAGAGAGGCAGCCUUACAGUGCUUUGGUUUUUUGGUUUUUUUUUUUUUUCUUUCUCCAUAUUAGAAGACAAAGCUUGGGAACUGGAUGGGCACCUCUAUAAAAAGAAAACACAUGGUUUCCAAG